GACGAACGCUGGCGGCGUGCUUAACACAUGCAAGUCGAACGAUGAAGCCUAGCUUGCUAGGUGGAUUAGUGGCGAACGGGUGAGUAAUACGUGAGUAACCUACCUUUAACUCUGGGAUAAGCCUGGGAAACUGGGUCUAAUACCGGAUACGACCAAUCUCCGCAUGGGGUGUUGGUGGAAAGCGUUAUGUAGUGGUUAUAGAUGGGCUCACGGCCUAUCAGCUUGUUGGUGAGGUAACGGCUCACCAAGGCGACGACGGGUAGCCGGCCUGAGAGGGUGACCGGUCACACUGGGACUGAGACACGGCCCAGACUCCUACGGGAGGCAGCAGUGGGGAAUAUUGCACAAUGGGCGCAAGCCUGAUGCAGCGACGCCGCGUGAGGGAUGACGGCCUUCGGGUUGUAAACCUCUGUUAGCAGGGAAGAAGAGAAAUUGACGGUACCUGCAGAGAAAGCGCCGGCUAACUACGUGCCAGCAGCCGCGGUAAUACGUAGGGCGCGAGCGUUGUCCGGAAUUAUUGGGCGUAAAGAGCUUGUAGGCGGUUUGUCGCGUCUGCUGUGAAAGGCCGGGGCUUAACCCCGUGUAUUGCAAUGGGUACGGGCAGACUAGAGUGCAGUAGGGGAGACUGGAAUUCCUGGUGUAGCGGUGGAAUGCGCAGAUAUCAGGAGGAACACCGAUGGCGAAGGCAGGUCUCUGGGCUGUAACUGACGCUGAGAAGCGAAAGCAUGGGGAGCGAACAGG
rnacentral:rRNA from 1 species